rnacentral:tRNA from 1 species
UGCGGCGUCGAGAAGUGGUAUCUCACUGGGCUCAUUACCCAGUUACAAUUCGGGCGGUUCGAUUCCCCCCGCCGCAA